AUAGAUGGCUCAGUGGUUAAGAGCACUGACUGCUCUUCCAGAGGACCCAGGUUCAAAUCCUGGCACCUACA
rnacentral:tRNA from 1 species